AGAGUUUGAUCCUGGCUCAGAUUGAACGCUGGCGGCAUGCUUUACACAUGCAAGUCGAGCGGCAGCGCGGGGGCAACCCUGGCGGCGAGCGGCGAACGGGUGAGUAACGCAUCGGAACGUAUCCUCAAGUGGGGGAUAACCCAGCGAAAGUUGGGCUAAUACCGCAUGAGCUCUGAGGAGGAAAGCGGGGGACCUGCAAGGGCCUCGCGCUUGUGGAGCGGCCGAUGUCCGAUUAGCUAGUUGGUGGGGUAAAGGCUCACCAAGGCGACGAUCGGUAGCUGGUCUGAGAGGAUGAUCAGCCACACUGGGACUGAGACACGGCCCAGACUCCUACGGGAGGCAGCAGUGGGGAAUUUUGGACAAUGGGGGCAACCCUGAUCCAGCCAUGCCGCGUGAGUGAAGAAGGCCUUCGGGUUGUAAAGCUCUUUCGGACGGAACGAAAUGGUUACGGUCAAUACCCGUGACUGAUGACGGUACCGUAAGAAGAAGACCGACUC
rnacentral:rRNA from 1 species